rnacentral:lncRNA from 1 species
AGCCUUAGCUUGAGGCUGACUCGAGGCUUCAGUGGCCUUUGUUUGUCUUUUUAUUUUCUUGUGAGACAGAUCAACAACGGGAGACAGGUCCUCAUCUUCUGACUCUAUCACGACAGGGACUUCAGUUAUUUUUGUUUUGAUUUUUGGAGGUGUGGGGGGAGGCUUUUGAGUGACCUGGAUGAGAAUUUCGAAGUGUUAGAGAUACCAUUAUAUAUAACAAAAAGUAAUGGGCAGAGUAAAGAUGUACCUUAAUGGUCUUGCUGCCACCCUCAGCUUUUUCUU